GGAAGAGUGGCCGAGUGGUUGAAGGCGCACGAUUCGAAAUCGUGUAAGCGGAGUAAUUCGUUUCGAGGGUUCGAAUCCCUCCUCUUCCGCCA
rnacentral:tRNA from 1 species